rnacentral:rRNA from 1 species
UACCUGCAGCUCAAGUGGUGGCCGUUAUUAUUGGGCCUAAAACGUCCGUAGCCGGUUUAUUAAAUGCCUGGGUAAAUCGGGCCGCUUAACGGUUCGAAUUCCGGGUAGACUGAUAGACUUGGGACCGGGAGAGGCUAGAGGUACUCCUGGGGUAGAGGUGAAAUUCUGUAAUCCUAGGGGGACCACCAGUGGCGAAAGCGUCUAGCUAGAACGGGUCUGACGGUGAGGGACGAAGCCCUGGGGCGCAAACCGGAUUAGAUACCCGGGUAGUCCAGGGUGUAAACGCUGCUUGCUUGAUGUUAGUCGGGCUACGAGCCCGAUUAGUGUCGGAGGGAAGUUGUUAAGCAAGCUGCCUGGGAAGUACGGCCGCAAGACUGAAACUUAAAGGAAUUGGCGGGGGAGCACAGCAACGGGUGGAGCGUGCGGUUU